GACGAACGCUGGCGGCGUGCCUAAUACAUGCAAGUAGAACGCACAGUUUAUACCGUAGCUUGCUACACCAUAGACUGUGAGUUGCGAACGGGUGAGUAACGCGUAGGGAACCUGCCUGGUAGCGGGGGAUAACUAUUGGAAACGAUAGCUAAUACCGCAUAAUAUUGAUUAUUGCAUGAUAAUUAAUUGAAAGGUGCAAUUGCACCACUACCAGAUGGACCUGCGUUGUAUUAGCUAGUAGGUGAGGUAACGGCUCACCUAGGCGACGAUACAUAGCCGACCUGGGAGGGUGAUCGGCCACACUGGGACUGAGACACGGCCCAGACUCCUACGGGAGGCAGCAGUAGGGAAUCUUCGGAAAUGGACGAAAGUCUGACCGAGCAACGCCGCGUGAGUGAAGAAGGUUUUCGGAUCGUAAAGCUCUGUUGUAAGAGAAGAACGGGUGUGAGAGUGGAAAGUUCACACUGUGACGGUAUCUUACCAGAAAGGGACGGCUAACUACGUG
rnacentral:rRNA from 1 species